CGGUAAUUCCAGCUCCAAUAGCGUAUACUAAAGUUGUUGCAGUUAAAAAGCUCGUAGUUGGAUUUCUGCGGGGACGGAGCGGCCGGUCGCAACUUGCGACUCGAGCUAGCGCUUUCCCCGCAUCCUGCCGCGAACCGUGCUACCAUUAGCUUGGUGGCGCUGGGGAUCGGCUCGAUUACUUUGAGAAAAAUAGAGUGUUCAAAGCAGGCCACACGCCUUGAAUAAGUUAGCAUGGAAUAAUGACUAAGGACUUCGGUUCUAUUUUGUUGGUGUUCGGGACUGAAGUAAUGAUUGAUAGGGACAGUUGGGGCGGUCUGUAUUCCAAGGCGAGAGGUGAAAUUCUUAGACCUUCGGAAGACAAACAGCUGCGAAAGCGUUCCGCAAGGAUGUUCCCUUUGAUCAAGAACGAAAGUUGGGGGAUCGAAGACGAUCAGAUACCGUCGUAGUCUCAACUAUAAACUAUACCAGCUAGGGAUCGGUCAACGUUUAAUCAUUCGACUUGAUCGGCACCUUAUGAGAAAUCAAAGCAUCUGGGUUCCGGGGGGAGUAUGGUCGCAAGGCUGAAACUUAAAGGAAUUGACGGAAGGGCACCACCAGCCGUGGAGCCUGUGGCUUAAUUUGACUCAACACGGGAAAACUUACCAGGUCCAGACAUAGUAAGGAUUGACAGAUUGAUAGCUCUUUCUUGAUUCUGUGGGUGGUGGUGCAUGGCCGUUCUUAGUUGGUGGAGUGAUUUGUCUGGUUAAUUCCGUUAACGAACGAGACCCCAGCCUGCUAAAUAGCGCGGCUGAGCUUUGCUCGGUGCGAGCUUCUUAGAGGGACUAUGAUGCGCGAUAGCACAUGGAAGUUUGGGGCAAUAACAGGUCUGUGAUGCCCUUAGAUGUUCUGGGCCGCACACGGGCUACACUGGCGCCUGCAACGAGCAUAUCAGCUGGCCCGAGAGGGUCUUGGCUAAUCUUUUGAACCGGCGCCGUGCUUGGGAUUGACCAUUGCAAUUGUUGGUCAUGCAACGAGGAAUGCCUUGUAAACGCGAGUCAUCAGCUCGCAUUGAAUACGUCCCUGCCCUUUGUACACACCGCCC
rnacentral:rRNA from 1 species